rnacentral:rRNA from 1 species
UACGUAGGGUGCGAGCGUUGUCCGGAAUUAUUGGGCGUAAAGAGCUCGUAGGCGGUUUGUCGCGUCUGUCGUGAAAGCUUGGGGCUUAACCCCAAGUCUGCGGUGGAUACGGGCAGACUAGAGGCAGGUAGGGGAGAACGGAAUUCCCGGUGUAGCGGUGAAAUGCGCAGAUAUCGGGAGGAACACCGGUGGCGAAGGCGGUUCUCUGGGCCUGUACUGACGCUGAGGAGCGAAAGCGUGGGGAGCAAACGGG